AGGGAAGUCGAGACGAUUUCCAACCCGAAAAUUGUCUAGACCGGCACCGAAAAUUGAACCCAGCCACCCUCAGCAUGGUCUUGCUUUGUAUCACUAUCUGUCAUAAAAUGGGGGAAUUUUUGAAUCACGCAAUGGGUAAAAAAAUACCCAUUGGAGGGAACCUCAUGUAGUGAAAAAUCAAGGAAAAAUGUUUAUUUUUAUACCCAUUAAUGGGUGAAAAAGUAGUUGGAAGAAAAUUGAAAAAUCGGUCAGACAGAAACCCUUAACACUCUUUGAAAUUAAACGGCAUCAGCUGAGUGGAGGUUUACGGUUUCUCCUUUGUUCCUUUCUUUUAAAAACCGAAAACCGAAAUGAUGAUCAAGAAAAAAAGAAUUAAAAGAAAAACAUAAUGCGAAAGGCCGAAUCGAGAGCAGGAUCAUAUCGAGGACCUAAUCGGGCAGCACCAACAUCAUCCGGAGCCGGAGCAAUAUAAUCUAGUGCUGG